rnacentral:tmRNA from 1 species
GGGGGCGAUUGGCUUCGACAGAGCAUGAGAAUCGUCUUGUGGCAUGUGCAGGACCCGGGUCACCUGCUGAAUCUUCCCGGACAUAACACAGAUGCCAACUACGGCAACGUAGCUUACGCUUAAUAUCGUGUAAGCCGUUCCCUCUGAUAUUCGCCUGUCGUGUCAGAAUGGAACGUCAUAUAGAUGGGCUGGUCAUAGCGGAUGUCCGUACCGUUAAGAUGAGAACUUUCGGACUGGCUUCGGAUGAUGGUCGUUUGCCACCCUCACCGGAGCGAGACACAAAAGUCAAACUAAACAUGUAGAGAUGGGAUGGCUCUUUGCUUUGGACGGGAGUUCGACUCUCCCCGCCUCCACCC